CAUUCUCGCCACAAAUCCGAACUGCAACAGAAAUCGACCCAAUUCAAUUCCCGUCUCCAGUCUCCUCUGCUGCAAAUUGUAAUCAGAAAUGGAGGAGGCCUUUCUUCUUUCCACAACCACUCCGCACCCACUGAUCGCCCGGAACUCUUUGCCUCCAUCGCUACAACUUGGUUUAUCCUCAGGUUAAGUUUUGUGGGGUGCAGCCAAAUGAGGAAAAAUCUAUGGAGCAAGCAUUGUAUCGUGAUGAGAGAGUGAUUGCGAAAGAGAUAGAACAUUUUGCAGAUGGUGUAGCUGUUAAGCAAGCCGGUGAAGAGACUUUUUGAAUUUGGAGAGAACUCGUCGAUGAUAUAAUUCUUGUAGCAAACAACAAAUAUCUGUCGCGAUAAAGGUUUGGGCUUCUUUGUUUUCUGUCUUUCAUGCUAAUACUUUGCUGUGUGUAUUGGUUUUCGGGUACUUGUGUUCAUUAGGGAAGGCAAAAGGAUAAGAUCUCAUUUGCAAAGUUGGUCAGCAUGUUCCAUAGUUUGAACUUUGAAUUGAUAAUGCUAAUUAUGUUAAGUUUUAUAUUUUCCAGUUAUACUCGUAGUAUACUUUAGCUAUUUCCAUUGGUAUACUUUACGGGAUAACAUUGAGAUAGUAAGUUGAUAAAAGUGGUUGUUUGAAUUGUGUGGAAACGGGUACAAGAUCAACUUUACUUUUGAA